AUGGGUCUGUGACUGUGAAGCGCUUUGGGCCCUCGAAGGAGGGUAGAAAGCGCUAUACAAGUAUACGCCAUUCAAUUAAAAUAUUUUUGAGGGGCUGAUAUCAAUACCCUUCUAUUGCACACUGAAUUAAGAGAUUCAUACUUUCAUGAACCCAUUAUUGCAUUUCUCCCAUCUGUCAAGAGACACUCCCUCUGGUGCUCCGCCCAUUCUGACAUACCGGGAUUCGUCAUUGGUUCACCUCCAGAAGGUAUUUGUAGCCUCACUUCCUGUUGCCUGUCUUUGAUUGACUAGAGUCUAUACUUCAUACACACUGGGCAUGAGUGGCUCGAUCAGGAAUGUUCAUCUUGAGGAUGCUGACCUGACUCCGCCUGCAUUCAGAGUUUAUAGAAAGGUCACACAUAAUAAGAAUGAUGGAGACAGCAGAAUAAAAGAGUGAAGAGCAGGAAGACGGAGGAUGAAGAGGUGCUCUCUGGUUGGCUUAAACACCAGUUAGAAGCAGAUGUUCCUCACUCUCACAAUGCUCCACCAUAUUUGCAGUCAGAACUUCAGUCUUUCAUCCAAACAUGAAGAAAUGUUAUAGAGCAGCAUCCAUAGUAUGUUACUCCCUCCCCCACAUUCAGUUUUAAUUAUAGCAGUAAAUCAUUCUUAUAAUGACUUCUGUUUGCACUGUUUCCACGGUGAAGUGCUUGAUUGAAGAGAAGAAAGUGUUUGUUCUGUUUGUAAUGAAGCUGACUCUCAGCUUGUGUCUUUUCUCUGGUAGGAGCACAAGUGUUCUGGCAGAUUUUCCCUCAUAAUUACAAUAAAUGGUCUGCACUUAAAAGGCACCCUCUCCGUCUUUUUUUUUUAUUAUUACUAUUAUUGCCACCUUUUACAAGUUCUUCCUAAUGGGUUUUUUGAAAUCCCCUCACUCCCACGCCUCAUGCAGUCAAGCAUGUGCAUUCAUCAGGCAGUGACUUAAAUAAGUCCUACACAACCAAUCCAACACAGACGUCUGCAAGGAAAUACGUUUGUACUUGUUUUUCAUUAAAGUUUUUAACUUAAAUAUGAUAUCUUACUAUUUAGAUAUGGGGAUAUAGUGCAGUAGAGUCUCGGUAUGGUGCUUAAAUCAUGGCCAAAGAAUAAGAAAACACAUAUUUAUGAAGCACUCUUGAAUUAUUUGGAUUUAUUCUGGUUUUGGGUUAAUUUCAGAAAAUAUUUUUCUUUCCAAAUCAUGAUUUGAUUCAGCUCAAAAUGUCUUAAAUAUAAGUUUUUUCCCCUUUACUUCUUUCUGACUUUAAAUAACCUCUCAAUCAGAGCUAUUUUAGUCUUUACAAUCAAACGUAUGGACUGAAGAAAUAUUAAGGAAAAGGAUGCAGUAAACAUCCAUCAAACGCUGGUCAGUUUGUCUGUAGAAGUUAAUGUAUACAAAAAAAAAAAAAACCCAGAAGAUUUUAAAAAUGGAAACAAAAACCAACACACAUGUUAAAAAUGUUGCAGCUGAGGAUUUAGAUAAGAGAAAAAAAACACCAAACAGAAUGUUUAUGUAACCGGGAGUUGUGACAUGGAGGGCACUAGGACCCAGAAAAUGGCCUCACACUAGGUGUGUAGUUUGUUAUUGAUGGGGGACGCUAUUUAGUGAUCCAAUCUGCAGCCGUGCUCACUUUAAACGCCGCUGUCGUCCAGCUUGUGUCAGGCCAAUCAAGCACACGUGGAGCUCCCUCGAGAUUCUGGCCGUGCGUUGAAACGUCGGGUUCAAAACGUAAGGUGUGUUUGUGCUGUUGCAAGCCCCCACCCGCCAGACAGGGUGGCGGGUGGAACGCGGAAGUGAACAAAUUUUUGGCGUGAUUAAGGCCUACUGCCUGGAACUUUUAUGGGAGGAAAGUCAUGACUUGCUGUAAGUGUUUUCACUGUAGGCUCUCCCUUAUGUUUUGAUGUGCUUUUUUUAUUUAAAUAUGCACUGUAUCUGUUUCCAGGAUGAAUUGGUUGUGCUUUUAAUCUGCCACUAUUUUAUACCGCUACAUUUUUAUUUUUAUUGUAUUUGAUUGUGCCACUUUUAUUAGUUUUAAAUCAUUUUAUACCCGGGCCUUUCAGCACCAGUUUUACAAAGCAGCGGUUUUACAUGUAAUCCCUCAAGCUGUUCUUAAGUGUGUUGUUUUUACUUGCAGUCUGCCCCUUUUUAUUUGUUGUGAUUUGUUUUAUUUGGGCCGGUUGCAUUGGCCUAAGCCUCAAAAUGUCCGCCUGGACUUUUCUGCUAAUUUUGACUCUGAAAGGGUCAAAGAAUGUCCUACAAAUGUGUGCUUUUGCCCCUUUUUCCAGAAGACAUUGAAUUUUCAAUAUAAAUAAUCAUUUUACAUUUUUUUUUUAUUAAAUAAUAGUGU